UUUGGGGGUAAAAUAGAUGUAAAAAGAGGGUUCUAAGAGGAUUUUAAGAGGGUUUUAAGAAGGUUUUAAAUGGUUUUAUCUCCUCUGACCCCCUCCUUGUCCCCCCCAGCCCCAUGGCCCGGCCCUGAGCCCUGAAUGAUGCCGAAGCAGAGCCGCUGGGCGCUCUGGGGGGCGGCGCUUUUCCUCGCCUGGAACGGCCUCCUGCUGCUCUUCCUCUGGGGCCGCCCCCCUUCCUCCUCCCUCUCCUCUUCCUCCUCUUCCUCCUCCUCCUCCUCCCGCCUCCCCUCGGAGCUCAUCCGCCUGGCCCAGGACGCCGAGGCCGAGCUGGAGCGGCAGAAGGAGCUGCUGCGGCAGAUCCACCGGCUCAGCGGGCUCUGGGAGCGCCGGCGACGCCGCCAGAAGACACCGCCAACCCUCCCAACCCUCCCAACCAAGACUUCUUUGGCCUCGCCAAGCCCGGAGGAGCCGGUGUUGCCGGUGCUGGUGCUGGCCUGCGACCGCAGCACGGUGCGGCGCUGCCUGGACAAGCUGCUGCGCUACCGGCCCUCGGCGCGCCGGCACCCGCUCAUCGUCAGCCAGGACUGCGGCCACGCCGAGACGGCGGCGGUCAUCGCCUCCUACGGCGACGCCGUGGCCCACAUCCGACAGCCCGACCUCAGCGACAUCCCGGUGCCGCCGGAGCACCGCAAAUUCCAGGGGUAUUACCGCAUCGCCCGGCACUACCGCUGGGCGCUGGGGCAGGUGUUCCGCACGUUCCGCUACCGCGCCGCCAUCGUGGUGGAGGACGACCUGGAGGUGGCCCCGGACUUCUUCGAGUACUUCGAGGCGGCGCUGCCGCUGCUGCGCGACGACGCGACGCUCUGGUGCGUCUCGGCCUGGAACGACAACGGCCGCGAGCAGAUGGUGGACGUCACCCAAGCCGAGCUCCUUUAUCGCACCGAUUUCUUCCCCGGGUUGGGUUGGUUGUUGUUGGCAGAACUCUGGGACGAACUGGAGCCCAAGUGGCCUCGGGCCUUCUGGGACGACUGGAUGAGGCAACCGGAGCAGCGCCGGGGCCGCUCGUGCGUCCGGCCCGAGGUGUCCCGAACCAUGACCUUCGGCAGGAAGGGCGUGAGCCACGGCCAGUUCUUCGACCAGUACCUGAAGUUCAUCAAACUCAACGACCGCUUCGUGCCUUUCACCCGGCUGGACCUGUCCUACCUCAAGAAGGACGAGUACGAGCGCUCCUUCCUGCCCAGGGUCUACUCGGCGCCCGAGGUCAGGGUGGAGGAGCUGCAGGGCAACAGGAGGAGGGAGCUGGGGGCCGUCAGGCUCCAGUACAGCGGCCGAGACGCCUUCAAAGCCUUCGCCAAGGCCUUGGGGCUCAUGGACGACCUCAAGUCCGGCGUCCCCCGCGCCGGCUACCGCGGCAUCGUCAGCUUCGUGUACCGCGGCCGACGCGUUUACCUGGCGCCGCCCCGGGACUGGACGGGCUACGACCCCACCUGGAGUUAGCACCUGCUCCCUCAAAGCACUUUGGGGGGGUUCUCCCCCUCUUUUAGGGGUUUGGGGUGGUUUCGGUGCCCCCCCGGGGCCGAGCGAGGCCCCCAAAGGUGGUUUUGCAGAAUAAAAGGUCGAAAAACGGAAAUUCCGACUCAGAAUUCCCGCCCGUGGCUCCUGCUGGGAGUUGGCACCUGCUCCUGGCAAAGUUUUUGGGGGGUUACCCUCAGUAUUUUAGGGGUUUUGGUGCCCUGGUCAAGCGUCGCUCGGUUUCUGCCGCUCGCGGUGCUGAAAGGUUAUUUUGCAGAAUAAAAGGUCAAAAUUGGAAAUCUCACCCAAAAUUUGGGUUGUUUUGGUCAGCCAGGUCUCCUACCAAGAGUUGGCACCCACUCCCCAGAGGACUUUGGGGGGGGGUCUCCCCCUUAUUUUGAGUAUAUUAAAUUAAAUACACCCAAAACGGUGGGUUUGGGAUAUAACAAAUCAUUUAUUUACACAAUGAUUAGCACACAAUUAUUAAUUCACAAUUAAUAAUUGGUGGUUUGGGGGCAUCACAAAUCAUUGAUCAAUGCACCCAAAUCGUUUGUUUUUUGUGUAUAACAAACCAAGGAUUUUU